AGUUUGCCGACCACUGCUCUAGUUCAUGCCGUGCCCCCACCCUCAUUUUAUCAUCGCUACCCACUGCACUUAGAACCUAACCUGGUAACAACACAUGGACAACUAAAUGGAAUUUCAACUCCAACCAUUAUUAAUAUUUGUGAAUUCAGAGCAGAGAACCAGGGAAGCCAUCCCUGGAGGAAGACUGUGACAAAUCACAAGUAUGAUACAGUGUAUGAUCACAAGUAUUAUCACUACUAGUUCUGCUCUUUCAGCCUGGCCUCUGAGAAGAAAACAGGGAG